rnacentral:antisense_RNA from 1 species
CUUGAUCGAGCCCACCCACAGCGGGUGCUCGGCGGUGCGCUCGCGGCCGUAGGUCGCCAGCAGCGCCUGCGCCUC